AAUACAAUAUGUGGACGCUGUCUGGCUUCUUUCACUUUGCAUAAGCUAUGUGAAGAUUGUGCCUGCUUCCUCUUUGCCUUCCACCAUGAUUGGAAGUUUCCUGAGACCUUCCCAGCAGCAGAAGCCUAUACAGUCUGCAGAACUAGUUCCCCAGCUAUCCCCCAGUGGCUUGGAGAUUCCCAUUUCAAGAGUGUAGAGUUCUACCCAGAAGGUGGCUGCGUGGACAGUGACUACAUUCUCAGCUCCAUGCCUAUUUGGAUGGUCUGAGGCCUUCACUCCUCACCCUUCCUGGAUGUGGUUGCGCCAGAGGGGAUGAUUUAGUGAGCAGAUG
rnacentral:lncRNA from 1 species